rnacentral:rRNA from 1 species
UACGUAGGGUGCGAGCGUUAAUCGGAAUUACUGGGCGUAAAGCGUGCGCAGGCGGCUAUGCAAGACAGGUGUGAAAUCCCCGGGCUCAACCUGGGAACUGCACUUGUGACUGCAUGGCUAGAGUGCGUCAGAGGGAGGUGGAAUUCCGCGUGUAGCAGUGAAAUGCGUAGAGAUGCGGAGGAACACCGAUGGCGAAGGCAGCCUCCUGGGAUGACACUGACGCUCAUGCACGAAAGCGUGGGGAGCAAACAGG